rnacentral:lncRNA from 1 species
GAAACCGCGCGCUGUGUGAUACAUUUCAAACGAGCCUCGGUUAUUAAUUCCCGUGUGUCGAUCAUCUUGCGAUCUGCGAGAGAGAGAGAAGGAAUUAUUCGAAGGAGGAGCAAGAUUUGGAAAAUAUUAUUUCAAUUCAAGAGAGAAAUGAUUGUAGUUUUAGGAGCAAGUUUAAUAUAUACGUAGAGGAGAGAGAGAUUUAUUAUUAAUAAUAAAGAUAAAGAGAAAGGAGUUAGUUAGUUAGUUUUUACUGGGCCCUCAACGUUGUAACGCAACGUUGAUGAAUUCCAGUGACAAUGGAGAAGGCCCUUCGGAUCGGGCUCGUAAAUCGAGGCUCUCGUCAAUGGACGGGGGUUGGCUACCCUCUCUCUUUUUUUUUUUUUAUUUUUUCAAAGAGGACGGGCGCGAUCGAAAUGCACCUCGUUUGCCUUGUGCUCGUCGCUUCCGGCGUAACGAACGGGAUCGUCGUUUCAUCGAGCCGCCUCGUCGACUGACGUUGAUCGUCGCGCACAAAGUGUCGAAAGCGAGUUAACUAACAUUUCCUACAUCUUUCCCCUGGAAAUUUAUAAUUUAUUUUUCCUUUUUCUUCUUCCUUUCCCUUGAAAAUAAAUAACGGCAGGUAAAAAACGUUCUUGUAUUUCGCACGAUAUAUUGCGAAUAUAUUCGACCUGCUCGAAACUGGUGAUAUGAUUGAUUCUCCUUGGUGGCAUUUGCAGAUAACGAAACGUGUGCAAAACGGGUGAUCGGGUGGGCGGAAGUUCAUUAUCUUCGUUCCAAUUUUCGUCUGUCGCGAUGGGCGACGAUUAGUCAAAGUUGAGCUGAACGACGUAUGGAAAUUUCCGAUAGGAAAAGUGCGGGAAGAAGAUCGAAGAAGAAACCGUUAUUUUCUCUCAAUCGCUCUGUUAAAUCGAAACAAGAGAUAAAGCGAGUAAUAAGCGGUCUCGUUAUUUUAAAUGAAUUUGUUCGUUCGUUUUAUUCCCUCGAAGAUUCUUCUUCUCGACGAAGAAAAGUUGCAACUCUCUUUCGAGGAAGAAAAGAAGAGGAGGAAGAAUAUAUGCGAACGAAAUGAUUCGAAUCCAAGAUCGAAACACGAAGCACCGAUCUUCUCCUCCUUCUUCUUCUUCUUCCCUUUUCGAAACACUGUAAUUCAUCCGCGAUAGUUCUAACGCUGGGCCAUCUUUUAUAAUACCAGUGUAAAACCCGGAAUAAUAGGCCUUGCAGUGCCGCGAGAUUUUCGUUGGUUUACCGUUUUUCUGGCAACCGAUCAUUUACUCGAUCAUCGUACCGAUGAACCAGCCAUGGAUGCAUCCUUCAACUUUCACAUUCCUUCGGAGAAUCGCGAUGCAUCGAGAUCCUCGAAUCGAUACCCAAUUUAUUCGAAAGCGAGAAACAAACAUUUAACGCAUCUCAGAGAAUCUCUUCUUCCUCGAAGGAAUUCUCUUAAAAAGAAAAAAGAGAAAAAAGAAUCGAAGAGACCGCCCAACUACGCAUCUGCACAAUUUCGCAAGUCGAGAGUCAGGGGGCGAAGAGAGGCGAGUGCAAGGUUCUUCUCGCGAGAGAGGCGCGUAAUUGCGAAUCGGCGGUACUUUGGAGGGGAGAGAGAGGAGGAGGAGGAGGUAGAGGUUGCCGAUGGCAACGUGACCGCGAUCAGCCGCGCUAUUCAACCGCGUAUCCAAUAUUCGACAGGGAAGCCGGUGAGGUGUUGCGGUAAUACACGAUCGGCGGAGGAAUGCCAUUUGCCGGUGCUUGAUUUAUGCAUUACAGAAUAUAUAUAGCGGAGACAACCGUUGCCGCGGCCCGUGGGGGAUUCGUCGAGGGCGUGGAUCGGGGCCAACGCCACGCGAUUCCUCCUCCACUCGAAGAGAGAAUCAGGGAUUCUCGCAGGGACACCCGGUACACACGCGCGAGGAACGCACGAUUCUUCAUUCUCCACGUUGGCCAUUUAUGGGUGGCGUGCCACUUGACAGGACGCACGGCGUCACGGGGUCUCCUCCCUUCCAGUCUCGUGGAUUGGAAAGGAACGCGAUAACGUGUCCAUCGUUUCGGAAGUUUCGGGCCCUUGAAAUUUUCUUGGCGAACGCACCCUUUCUUCGCAAAGGAUCGGACUGCAAAGUGAACGCCGGUCCCACGACCGACGAGGAAUCGACACUCUCGCAUCGGUUACGUUUCGAGGGUGCGAUCUCCCCUCGAGUUUUUCGAGAGGCGUGCAAUGGUCGAGAGUACCUCCUUGACGAGGAAGGACGAGGAAGGAAAGAUCAAACGUUUCGAAGUUUCUCUCCCUUGUUUGGAUCCAACCUGGAGGAGGGCAGAGCAACGACUUUUAAAACGCAAUUUAAAACGCCGUUGCUGCCGCUUUUGUGAAAAUAAUCAAGCACUCUCCGUGCUCCGGUGUCCCAUGUGAUUCGAUCGGUUCCUCGGAUCGUGGAACUUUUUAAACCGGCGUCCGGUUUACAGGCGGUGGAGGGUGGAGGGAGGAGCCGUGGAAAGGGAUUUUCCAAGGCAAGGAAAAGCGGCGCGAUCGGGCGGGAGUUUAAAUUAGAUUUCGUACUUCCGAGACGCUACAAGAACCUUAAAAGAGGAGUUCACCGUCUUUCUCGAUCGAUCGGUCGGUUCUAUCGAUUCGAAGGAAUCGUUCGUGAUCGACAGCCGCACAGACAGAACCACUUGAUCCGUCCACGAAUCUGUCGAUAUUUUCUGCUUUACCGAUCGAUCUAUAUCGCGGAAAUACGUAUGGAAUAUCUCUAAUGAUCAGACGUUCCGGUAGAUACAACAGAUGUGGAUCACGCAAUGGAUUUCUGCAAUACCAACCGAUCACUUUUUCUUAAAUCAGUGGUUCUCAACCUCUAAGUAAUGAAGAAAGAAGAUUGCUGUUAUUUAGUCUUAGAAUUUUAAUAUAAUUGCGUUAUCAAGGAUGAUCAGAACAAUUCCUCUACGGCAAAUUAUAACAAUUAUUAAUUAUUUUUAAUUUUGUAUGAAAAAGAAGAGGCGCAAGAUAUUUUAAAAAAAAAAAGGAUUGCAACAGUGAUAGAUGAUCUUGUUAAUCAAUAUAUAAUAUUAUUGAAAGAAAUUGUAAUCGUUCGAUAAUCCUAUGAAAACUUUUUUUCCUCGAGCGGAUUUUCUACUUAGAAAACGACACAAGACGAGUAUUUAUGAGUUAUUGAUGACACGUACGCUUUCAGUAUCUUAGAGAGGAUCGUAUAAUAACGUAAUUAACGACGCGUUGACAAAUUGAAUCGGCGGCGAAUUUAUUCUUUUCAUCGUGGCUGUACCCCGGUGCUCUCGCCAUAAAUAUUUCAUGGCGGUCGGGCGGGCGGGCGGGCGUCCCCGUGUCCGUGGAAAAUCGUAGAACGUUCAAUGAUCAUCCCCCAGCCGCUGCUACACACCCUCGAAAAAUCUUCACGAGGAAACCAUGAAGAACCGAUAAUCUUUCAUCGAUCAGCAUCAGAGAGAGAGGAUAGAAGGAAACGUUUCUCGAAAAUGGAAAUCUUCUUUAGAGGGGGAAAAAAUGAAUUACGUAUAUAUAACAGGCAUGAGAGAUUUGUCUCUAAAUAUACGAAUAGAAUUCCAGGCCUAUCGUAAAACCGAAUCGACAACUUUUUUCCUUUAAUUGAUUUAAUUUAUUCAUUGACGAAUAAAGAAAUUGUUUUUUAAUUGCUUACAAAGAGAGAGAGAUUAUA